GAUGAACGCUGGCGGCGUGCCUAAUACAUGCAAGUCGAGCGAACGGACGAGAAGCUUGCUUCUCUGAUGUUAGCGGCGGACGGGUGAGUAACACGUGGAUAACCUACCUAUAAGACUGGGAUAACUUCGGGAAACCGGAGCUAAUACCGGAUGAUAUUUUGAACCGCAUGGUUCAAAAGUGAAAGACGGUCUUGCUGUCACUUAUAGAUGGAUCCGCGCUGCAUUAGCUAGUUGGUAAGGUAACGGCCUACCAAGGCAACGAUGCAUAGCCGACCUGAUAGGACAAUCGUCAAAAUUGGACCGGGGAUACGUUCGAGACUCCUACGGGAGACAGGAGGCGGGAAUCUUCCGCAGUGGGCAAAAGCCUGACCGAGCAACGCCGCGUGAGUGAUGAAGGCCUUCGGCUCGUAAAACUCUGUUAUUAGGGAAGAACAUAUGUGUAAGUAACUGUGCACAUCUAGACGGUCCCUAAUCAGAAAGCCACGGCUAACUACGU
rnacentral:rRNA from 1 species